UAUAUUGACAAAAAAUAAAAAAAAAAGUAAAGCAAUACUGAAUGUAUAAAAGAAAAAUUAAACACUUGAAAGCAAAGGAGAAAAUGCUGGUGAAAAAUUGGAUUGCAGAUCUAUCCACAUUCUUGGGAAUUAAAUGUCACUGUCAGAUGCAUAUUAGAUAACACUGUAUGAAAUAAUAAGGGCUCUGAGACUCACAGAGAGUAAACUCACAUACCUCAACUAGUAAGGGCUUGACUACAGUGUCCUUCUGCACAAGUGGUGGGACAUCAGUCAACUCAUUGUUACACGCUUCCUGAGAAUGCAUGGCUUCUGCGGUAGCUGUGAAAUUCACCUUUCCUGGGGAACAAAGUUCUUAAGAGUUAAAUGGUGAUUUUAUAUUGAACGGUUUCUUCUUUUUCAGUUUCCCCAGUGUAUCUAGUGGUUGUCUUCCUCUUGAUUAGUAUUAAAGGAGGAGAAAAAGUAUGUAUUGGGGUCAGUGCAGAAAAAAAAUCAUCUGAGCACACGAGGUGGAAUUUGCUAAUAGCGUUACUACUCACCCAGUGACUUUGGAGUCACAGUCCAGGACACGGUUUUCCGCCCAUUUCUACAGACACAGUGAGAUUCUUCAUUCUUCUCUGUUGGGACAGCCAGGAAAGCGGAAGAGACUUCCAGCUGCACAAUGACCUGUCCCCCCACACCCAAGCACAAGUUUAUGAAGGGACGCAGAACAGGAUGCAUACUGGGGAAGAUGCUGUGUGCAUCAGAGUGUGAAGAGGAUACUGACCCACCCAAAAGAGACCCCACAGAGAGAACGAAUAAGAUGUGCUGAAAGCCGGAGCAUAACUUGGCCAUUCCGAGAUUUAACAACCAACUAACUACCCAUCAUUAACAGUAAAGCAGAAAGAAAACAAUCAGUAAGAGAUUAUAUAGACCUAAGAGAUGUUACAGACCUAAGAAGAACCUAUGCUCCCUUAUUUCAAGGAGCAGUACUGACCGUGAAGGAACUGCAGUAGAAAUAGUUCCUCUUCGUCACCAGGUCUGUGAAGAGGGGACUGUUCUGCAUUUCGUACCUCAGAGUUACUUUCAGUGCCACCGUCUCAUUCAGGUGAUUAAGGAUGACACAGGCCUUUUCAGGAACUCCAGUGUAGAGGUGCGAUGGGACCAGCACUAGGUACUGCCUGUGGAGGGGAGAAGUCCAGAUUAACUAUGGAAGGGUCAAAAAGACAUCAUUAUUAUGGGCAUUUUCUAAGUAAUUUUUGCUUUUGUCACCAAUCAUAGAACAGAGACAGAUUUCAGCAGGAGUGUAUUCUCCAAAGGCUAACCCAAAAGAUCUGAGGAACUGAGAAAACCUCAAAUUAAACCCCAGAUAUGCUUCUCUUCUGUUGUGGAAAUACUCACCCACAUAAUAUUAGAAAACCUGUCAAUAGCCAUGGGUAAGCAAUCCAUGAGUUGUUAUGUAUUUUGGAUAAAAAUUUCAAAAUUUCAAAAUGUGAAUCAACCAACAAAUCAUCAUUGAAAGCAUUAAGGACCUCUCUGCAUGUGGUCUUGGGUUUUGCAUGAAUGUUACUACAAAUCUCUUUGUUCCAGAAAACUAGGAAAGAUAUAACAUUUAAUACCUGGGGAGAAACUGAAUUGCUUUGCACUACGACCAUGGGAGCAAAAAUAUUUUUUCUUUCUUUAGCUCUUUGGUGAUGGAGACAAGGCAAACUGAGCUAGGCUAAUCACCAGACAUACUGCCAUAGACACCCGGAAGAAAAUACCACUCUCCUCUCACCAAUUGCCUCUCACAGUCACCCAGGCACACUACAUCUGGGGAUGCUGUACGUGUGCACACUCUUCUCUCUCUUCCUGAGUGUCCCUGUCUACCUGGAAACUUCUGUUUGCUUCAUAAGACUUAUCUCAAAAGUGACUUUCUCGGUGCAGAAUUUGGUGAAUCCCUCUCUCUUCCAUCAGGCCUCAUGAAGAGGGAGCUUUCUUUGGAAGUAUUCUGACAGAAUCCUGCAAUGCCUGCUUCGGUUUUUCUUCUAUAGUUCAUUCUCUGUGCACCAUCUCUCUACUUUUCCAUACUGUGAGAUGUUGAGGGCAGCGUCUGAAUUUUGUUAAUCUGUAGAUUCCCAAGACCUAAUGCCAGCUCCUAAAGGUGUGCCAAAGGAUUGAGUGAACUGACACACAAAUCCUGGCUUGUCUGUUGAGCAUACGUUCAUCCUGGCAAUCCCUGACUUGAGGAAAACACAGGUACUGAGUCAUUUCACAAUGGUCACGACGUGCAAUCCAUUUUAUGAAUCAAUAAAAAACGUAUCCCUUUUUGGGUAGGAAUUCUCUAUUCUUUUUUGGUAAAUGUUUCAUAGAUGUCGCUGCCUUAUGUCUGUGAGCUUCCGGAAAUUGGAGGAUGUCUCUUUUCAUGUGAGUAGUAAUGACUUGCUGAUCCUUCCUGGUCCCUUUGACAGCAGAAAAUGGUGUAGGGAAUUAGGAAACACAGAUCAAAGAGAUAAUACAAUGGGAAAAAAGGAGGACAAUAUAAGUUUCUGGAAAUAGUGCUUACGGUUCUGCAGCAGCUGAAGCAUCACUGGGAAGGAGGAGGAAAAGCAGGAUCAAGACUGGCUGGGGCAGUUGAUUUCUCAUUACGGUGCAGAAAGGAGGAGGGCAGAAUGGGAGUCUGAGCCCUCGAUUCUUUUAACCCUGUUCUUGCUCCGGCUCACUGGUUUUUAUUUCAUCUGAUGGGCAGUGAAAGUAAACUGCCAAUCAUUUAUUUUUGUAACAUAUUAACUACUUCCAGCAUAAAAAAAUCAAUUCCAGAUAAUUUUCAUGACUAUUGGUAUUAUUUUAUCCACUUUCCCAAAUUUUCUAAAUUCCUGAAAAAUAGUAGUUUGAGGCUACCACUAGCUCAGGUCAUUAAUCAGUUUUAAAACUAUUUUCAUGAAAAUACAAAAUAAAUUACAUGUUUUGAUGAAAUAAACCAAUAUUCUUGCAUUUUUUAAAAGAGGUAUUAAUGUAAAUCCAUAUCCCAAAUAUGUUUUGGUAAUCUAGGGAGCAUGACAUAUAUUCUUCACCCAAGAUUCAUCCUAACUGGCUCUUCACUGAAACACGGAAAAGAAAUCUGUCACAGAAUUUUAAAUAAAAUAAGUUUGGGAGCAACCUCUCCAUUGCUUGAAAGAUUCACUUUUGAUUUGUACAGGCAUCCUUAUGUUUAUUAUUUUAAAAAGAGCUGUUCAUUGGGUAUAACAACGUAUGUAAUAUAUAAUUACUAUUUCUUAGUUCAUUCAACAUCUAGAAUAUAAACCCAAUUAACUUACGUUGUUCUCUAAGAAAAUGAUCUCUCUUUGAUGAACAUUCUUAUUUAAUUUUAUCCUGAGGGAUAGAAAAUAUUUUAUCAACAGUGAUGCAUCAUCCUGUUUGCUUUCCAAGGGGGAUUCAGAUGUUAGAAUUUAUUUUUAUGGAACACUGAAAAGAAGAAAGGUCCCAUUGUUAAAUUAAUAAAACUAGGGCCUUAUAAAAUUGAAGUUUGCACAUUUUGAAUAAAGAACUGAUUUCAACUAUAAAAUAAGAUGUGAAGAGAAAUAGGCACUUCUGAGAACGGGGAAUAUUUUAUUGUGUUCCCUUCUAAAUUGGGGCUAGGCAGAUCUUGACGUACCCUUUUCUAUACGACCUGGAAGAGUGAUGGAGAAGUAAAGAUGAUGUAUGUGACAACCGGUGGUGAACUGCAAAACUGUAGAUAUGUAAGCUAUUAAAAUUCCAAUGAUGAUAAACUAUGGCUAAAAAAAUGCCAAGUCAAAUAGAAUAAACUGUAGUAUAAUACAUUGUGUUAGCCCUUGGUAGUUGACAAAUACUUGCUUGGGUGAUUGUAAAACUCUUCUGCUUUAUUUUGGCUCCAUUUGUAUGCUCUCUUACUUCCACUCAUCUUCCCAGCUCUUCCCAACUCCCACCCUCACCCCUAAAUUACCAUAAAUGUGCUUAUUGUCUAUCAGCUUAAUAUGGGAUAAAUUAACCUACAGUAAGCAGUAAAUGACUUUUAAGAGGUCUCUAUAUUACUUUUUCCAGGCAUGACUAUCCUUUUUAGGUGUGCACCAAACCUGUAUUUGACCAAAUGCUGAAUGACUAAACAUAAAAUCCUUUUUCGUAAGCAUGAAGCAAAAAUUGUCAUCACAGUUCGAACUUCUGGAAUAGAAGAAUAAAUCUCAAGAAUUAUCAGAAUUUUAUCAUUUUAAUUUUUAAUUAAAAAUUUUAGUGGAUGCAUUUGAAAUAUUUGACAUUAUAGGGUAAACACAAUACUUUCUCAGCACUGUCAGCUAAGGCUUCUAUACUUUUGGGAUCUUCAAACAUUUUCCUUGUAUUCCUUAAAAGAAUUUUAUUAAACAUGUAAUACCUCACAUAUACCUGACAUCUAAAAUUUUCACCAUUAUCAAGAUGGUAAGUGUAGUAUAAUACUGAUAUUUAAAAAAUAAAAUGUAAUACCACUUUUUAAAUGUAUCCGAUGAAAUGUAGACACUGCAGUGAUUUUUUUGCCCACCACCAUUCCUGUAAAACACACUUGAACACUUUUUUCCCCAGCAGGAAACUUUAUAUCGCUCUUGUUUCUUUUUAGUCUUGUAUUUUCAUCCUACUUCCUCAGGUAAUUUUAUCCUGGAGUUACAUACUUCAAUACAUUUUAUUGAUCGCCCUAUUAUAUGUUUCUGCAACUAAAGAUCAUCAAAGAUUAUUAUAAAAAAUAUUCUUGAGCCUGUAAAGUUCUAAUUAGUAAUAAAUGUUUUCUAGAUUGCAUUAUCAUUAAAAUUAUUAUCAAUACGCUAUUUAUAAAAUUAUAUAUAUAUAUCGACUACAACCUUAAUAGAUACUAAAAAUGAGAACAUUUUGUUCAAAAAUAAUUUUUUAGUGAAAUAAAUCAUGUAUUCCAGCUGGCUCCCUCAAAUAAGAUUGUGUAUUCUUGGAUGAAUAUUGCUUAUUGCUGGAUUAAAACAGGUUUCAUCUAUUCUCUAUUUUUUCUACUCUGCUCUAUUUCAAUUCUAGAAUAUUGCUAUUCUGUUUUCUAUUGUAUAGAUGUAAGCACUAAGAAAACCUGUUCACGUAAAGAGAGAAAUAGAAAUAUGGGACAUUCUAUUAUAACAAUAUUAUCUAAAUAUUUAGGCUUCCAUGUUAUAAGCCAAAGGUCACAUUAUAAUCAUUAAAAAUUACUUUCAGUUAUCUAUCAGCUGAUAAAUCCUCUGUAACUUUAUUGAAAGCAAAGUGCUAAACCAGGUCAAUUGCAACAGGAUUUGGAAAUCAGCCAUUAUGAUCAUUCUUAUUCUCGGUUCCUAGAAAGUAUUCAAUAAAGGCUUAAAAGGACUUAUAAAUGGCCACCAAUCAUUACUUUCUUACUUAAAAACACAGCUUUUACCAAAUAU